CCUACGGGUGGCAGCAGUGAGGAAUAUUGGUCAAUGGGCGGAAGCCUGAACCAGCCAAGUCGCGUGAGGGACGACUGCCCUACGGGUUGUAAACCUCUUUUAUAAGGGAAUAAUGUAGGGUACGUGUAGCUUUUUGCUUGUACCUUAUGAAUAAGCAUCGGCUAACUCCGUGCCAGCAGCCGCGGUAAUACGGAGGAUUCGAGCGUUAUCCGGAUUUAUUGGGUUUAAAGGGAGCGUAGGGGGGUUUUUAAGUUAGUUGUUAAAGGUUGGGGCUUAACCUUUAAUUUGCAAUUGAUACUGGAAGUCUUGAGUACAGGUGAGGUAGGCGGAAUUCGUGGUGUAGCGGUGAAAUGCUUAGAUAUCACGAAGAACUCCGAUUGCGAAGGCAGCUUACUAGACUGCAACUGACACUGAGGCUCGAAAGUGUGGGUAUCAAACAGGAUUAGAUACCCUUGUAGUC
rnacentral:rRNA from 1 species